GAUGGAUUAUGGAUUCGCGCCCUUCCUCCCCUUCAAAUUUGCACGGCAAUGAGACCCCUUCCUCCCUAUUCUCUUUGUCCAUCACACAGACAAAUAAACUUCUCCCUCACACCCAUUUCUUCAUCCCUUUCUUCUCCCUCACAUCCCUUUCUUCAUUCCAUCUCUCACCCUCGAGACCGCACUUCCUCUCCUCCCUCUCCUCAAUUCCGUAGUCUUCUUACCCUCACUUCCCUCCCUCUACCGAAUCCCUCUCUUCCGUCGACACCAUCCGUCGAGAAAAGCUCUAACAUAUCUAAGAAAUAUCCCUCGAAAUCGACUUCAUGAAGCAGCCCUAACACUGGAGAAAUCCCCAUGGGUGGUCGCGCAACCCUUUGUGAAAUCCCUCUACCCCGUGAUGUUCGUUUGAUCCAAUAACAUCUAAGAGGCUUACACAUACUUGCUUAAAUAAGUGCAUCGAGAAAAGGCCAUUGGGUUGUUUGAUGACCUUGAUAAAGAGCUGAAUACAUAUGCAAUGAGGGUUUGAGAAUGGUAUGGCUGACGUUUUCCUGAGCUGAGUAAGAUCGUCAUGGAUAACAUCCAUUAUGCCAAGACAGUGAAGCUCAUGGGUGACUAGGUUAAUGUUGCAAAGCUUGAUUUUUCUGAGGUGGAAUUGCUUACUUUCUUUUUGAAGUAUAUAAAGAUGUUCCUAUAGUUUGUACCUUUUGUACCACUUAACCUAGUAGAAGUCUGAAUCCAA